CCUAGGUUACACACAGCUGUAAGCCACAAGAUUUCCUAUCUUCUUUAAUAUUGAAUUCAACAUUAUUGUACACUUUAUAAAGAAAUUUAGACUACUACACAGAAAGUACUCACACACUGUAUUUCACCAAGUCUGUUUCCUUUCUUGCUUUCCUAACCUAAGCAAGAAAAGCUUUAGGUACUUCCACUUUCUGCAAGAUGCCAAGCACAUCUGUUUUGCCCCCUUUGCCACCAACAACUCAAGCCUGUGAGCUGGAAAGCUAUCUGUCUUAUUGUUGUUUAAACUGUUCAAGUGGAAAAUAACACCACUGAGGAGGAGGCGAGGCAGAAUCAGCAGCACAGGUAGGAAGGCCAGCCAGUUGGUUCACAAGGAACAGUGAACUUCAACAUCUAGGAGUUGAGUUGUAUUAUGUCUGCACAAUUUUCCUACAUUGAAAAGAUUGCUAUUUCUACAACACACACUAAGAAUUGGCCCUUUCUCCCUAGCUAUGAUCACAAGGCAAGCAAUUAACAGUCGAUCACCUAAUAGUAUUGCUUAGCAGUACAUACUCCUAGCUGCCUCAUCACUGCCUUUCCGACUUCAUUUGGGAUAUAUCUAAUCCACUCGUUUCCUCAAUAAUAUGCCCUGCAAUUGCAGGAUCCAAAUUUAAGCAACCACUUAAAAUAACUGCUAUCCUUUCAGAGGCAUAAAAAUGUACCAUAACUAGGAUUCAAGACUAUGUGCAACUUCAUUCAGUACACACACUUGAAGCUUCAAAGGUAAAUACACUUCCGCCUCUAGACAGCUUGCCAGGUUUUAUUUUUCUUCACACUUGCACAUGAAGGAUUAGUUACAUGAGCGCAGUAUCAUUAUGUAACUGUAUUAACCCAUACAAUAUGCAACUUGAGGACUGCUCUCAGUUCUAAUUCCCAUUUCACAAGGGAAAGUCACAGAAAACAUGGCACAGACACACAGGUCACCUUCUAACAACCAGGUGAACGUAUUAGGAUUCCUGAGCCUAGAACAAAGAUUACAAAUCUACACACUGAGCAGGAUCUUAAGACACAGCAGAAUCGAGCGGAGUUGUUCACCUUUUUCAGCACAAGAAUCUGAGAGCAGAGAGUUAAACCAACACACUGGAGCUCCAGGACACUCCAAAGAACCAGUUCUUUACACAAGCAACAAUUAGGCCAUGAAACUCCUUCCUCCCCAGCAUUCCUGAUGCAAGAGCUAUUGAUAAAAAGCACACCUGAAGUUAUUAUACACACUACAAAUCACAGUUUGUGGAGCUGGGAUAAGUAUUGCAUGGACACCAACAGACAUUUUGGUCUGCCUCCUUCGCCUGGGCAUUCUCUCCCAUAGCCUGAAGAGUUGGACUGACUGAGCUUUGAGUAAGACAUUUUAUUUAUCACAGGUUGCCACAGAAAUUGUUUCUCUUUAAAAAGAAAUUAUGAGCUUACAGAUUUCCACAGUAACUUCAUUGUUAAGGAAUGGCUUCAGUUCCAGAAGACAUUAAGAGAAGAGACAAAAAGAAUCACCUGAAGUUCUGUGUGCGAGACAGAGAAACCUAAAAAAAACCAAUACAACAGUUCUACAAACUCACUCUUUCAGCACAAUCACGCAAAAACACUGCUCUCCACAAUGCGCCAUUUAGAUGGCAGGUGCAUCUGGGCUUCUAAACUGUUUUAAUGAACAGUUUUGUUUUUGUCUAGUCAUAUUUCCUACAUGCAGGCAUCCUACUAAAAUAAUCAGGUGCCUUACAGCACUGCUGUAAGAAAUCUGCCAGGAAUCACUGCUCAAAACACUCCAUUAUUCAGUCAUUAAGUGAUUACAGUUGGAGAAAAUGCACUAUAAGCUAACCUAGCAAUUUACUUAGCUUAAUUCCAUUUUACAAGACGUGGCCAUGCCACUGCUCUGCCAGAAGUUUACAGGAUGCCUAGCAGCCCUAAACCAAAUAUGCUAUUCAUAACACAGCAAGGAGAAAAAACAAGAAAAAAAAAAAGCCAAGAUAAUGCUAAAACCUCAAACUGCCUCCCUGCCACAUAUGCAGAGUUUUCCAGACUUUGAGGACACAGGCCAUUAGUAUCAUACUUUUGAUUAUUAGGGGACUGCUAACAAAAUGGAAGGCAUUGAGGUGUAGCAGAGAAAACGCAAAAUCCCAUUUGAAAGCUGACACUGUGAACUUAGUGGCAGCUAAACAGGACGCGAAAAGGCAAUAGGAACGCUGGAGGGAGACCUGCACCAGUACGGUGCUCGGUCUGCUGCAAGCCUAACACCUGAGCUGGAAGGAAGGAACACACCAGAAAGAAAGAGACGAAGUUUAUUUACAAGUUAUCACAACUGGACUGCAAGAACGUCUAAUUAGCAACAGCGGCCUUACUAACUACGUCCACAACUGUAGAACACAUUUCCUCCCCUCCUCCGACGCGCAGGAGCUCGCGAACGAGCCCGCCCCGGCUGCGUGAAGAAGCGCUACCGCUUUCAGGCAGUCCCAAGGGGAACGAGCGAGACGCCAGAAGCCACGCUGCGGCCACCAGAGAGAUCACUGGGGACGGGACGGCCGCCCCCAUCGCUUGGGGUACCCGUGCAACGUUCCCUGCCCGUCCCGAGAGGCCACACCGGCUGUAAGGCCCCACCACCAUCAGAGCAGUGCAAAUCGCCUUGUCCUCGCCGGGGCCGGAAGCGGAGCCGCGCCGGCGCAGGGACAGCCCACCGCCGAGGGGAGGGGUGCAUCCGCCGCCCCCCGCCCGAUCCUGCGCCCCCGGAGGCGGGCGGCCGUCGCCUGCCGGCCCGCAACUUAUCGCGCAGGUCUAGUCCGCCGCUAUGCCGGGGCCUGUACCUGCGUUGGAAGUCCUGCUCGAAGGGGGCCAGCAGUAUGCAUACAAAAAUCCAAGAACUAGGACAAGUGCUGUUCGAUAUCUUUAUCCAUGGCAUCAACAGUAGGAUUGAGUGCACCCUCAGCAAGUUUGCGGAAAAUGCUAAGCUGUGUGGUGUGGUCAGCACAUCUGAGGGACCAGGAUGCCAUCUGGAGGGACCUAGACAGCCUUGAGCAUUGGAUCCAGGUCAACCUCAUGAGGUUCAGUGAAGCCAUGUUCAAGGUCUUGCACCUGGAUCAAGGCAACCCCCUUUAUCAGUACAAGAUGGCAGUGAAGGAAUGGAAGGCAGCCCUGCAGAAAAGGACUUGGGGGGACUGAUGGAUGGGAAGCUGGACAUGAGCCAGCAUUGGGCCCUCACAGCCCAGAAAGCCAACUGUAUCAAAAGUACAUCAAAAGAAGUGUGGUCAGCUGGUCGAGGGAGGUGAUCCUGCCCCUCUACUCUACAUUGCUGAGAUCUUACCUGGAAUAGUGUGACCAGACAUGGAGUCCUCAGUACAAGAGAGACAUGGACCUAUUGGAGGGUAUCCAGAGGAGGGCCACAGAAAUGAUCCAGAGAAUGGAAUACCUCCUCUGUGAGGACAGGCUGUGAGAGCUGGGGCUGUUCAGCCUGGAGAAGAGAUGCCUCUGGGGAGACCUGAGUGCAGCCUUUCAGUAUCUAAAGUGGGGCUGUGAGAAGGGGACAGACACUUUAGCAGGCUCUGUUGUGAUAGGACGAGUGGAAAUUAUUUCAAAUUAAAGAGGGGAGACUUAGACUGGAUAUAAGAAAGAAGGUUUUUACAGUAAGAGUUAAGUUUUUCAUAAAAGAGGCACUGGAACUGAUUGCACGAAGAGGUCAUGGCAGCCCUGUCCCUGGGGACAUUCAGGGUUUAGGCUGGAUAGGACUCUGAGCAACCUGAUCUGGCAACAUCCAACCUCAUCAUUUUCCAAUUGUCCAUUGGUUCCAUCAGGACAGUAGACAUUUCCCAAUGAUCAAAUUGUAAUUUGGAGUCUACAAAGGUGAAGUAUAAGCCUUUUUGGCUGCAGCUGAGAGGUAUGAAUGGCCUUUUCCCUUAUGUCACUCUUCAGUUCGCAAUCCAGUAGAGACGUUGGAGAUGCUGUUCCAGUACAUUGAAUCUUUUCCAGUUUCCUCACUGUAUCUGCAUGUUUGUGCUAAAUUUAACUGCUUUCUUGCUACACUAUUUCCUACCAGUGCAUAUAUGCAUAGAUUGCUUUGCUUUUGCAUCUUAUCUUGUCAUAUCCCUUUUGCCACAUUUUCUUAAGAAGAAUGAGUGUAAAUACUGAUAAAAAUAACGGUGUUACAGCUUCUGAGUCAUCUGCUCAGUUUGAUAUUUUCAAAUUUGCUGCUUACUAUCUAUGAUGGCUGAUAUCUCUUCUCCCCUCAUAUAGGCUGCUAGCUUAUUCCAUGUUGUUCUGGUAUCUAUAGGCCCUAAAACUAAAUACACUCCAGGCCAUCCAUUAUAGUUACUUGAAUACAUCUGCGUUUUUAAACAUUCAAGGCUUGUCAAUUUCGACUAUGUUGCCAUGCACAAAACAUUAAAGAGUCUGACAACUUUUUUCUGCUUCUAUUAUGUCUCUACUUUCUUUUGGCUUAUGACCAUCAUAGUGGUAUAAUCAUUCAAAUUCUGGUCUUCCUUCUUAAGUUCAUACAGUGUUAUGCAUCCACUCAUCAUAAUCAGUUUCUAGAUCUUUUGAAAGAAUCUGGAUCCCAAAGAUUUAGUCCCUGCUUAAUACUGUUUCCUCACCUCAUCUAUUUCUUCCAAAAAGUAGAAAUGGACAGAUCCUAGGUGCAGGGUCCUAGAUAAUUCCUAGGAGCAGAGUUGGAAUGUCCAGCAAGGGACUGGUUUUGUUUUUAUCUUUCCUAAGAAUUGCAGAAUUAUAGAAUCAUUAAGAUUGGAAAAGACAACUAAGAUCAUCUAGUCCAACUGUCAACAUCACCAUGCCUGCUGAACCAUGUCCUCAGAGCCUUGGUUCCCCUGUCAGUGGCCUUGUCCUUUACUAAUAAGCCAUAAGAAAAACAGUCUCUGUUCAGCUGAGUCAUGAGAGGUAGCAAAGACAAAGAUCUCUGAUCACCUAGGGCUAUGAUCAGAGGCUUUAAAGCAAUCUUUGGGCCUCCAAUACAAUGUCCACCUAGUGCCAAUUUGCCAAACUGCCACAUUUUCUUUCUGAGAUUUUCAACAGUUGGCAUCCACCACAAAGACUGACACCUAUCUAAAAGAGAUUUGCCCAAAGUGAACUGCAACCAGAUCACUGAAUGAUUUAGCUACUAUUUCUCUUCUUUCCUCAGAUUAUCAGUGAUCAUGAGUCACCUGGGCUCAAAAUUUAUUAGUUAUUUAUUUGUUAUAGUAUACAAACUAUUUACAGUAAGAUGAAUGGUAAGAUAUCUGACAAUUCAUGGACCAGUGAAUGCCCUGAGUCUCUGGAAUCUAUCUGCUGUUUACUUUGUGUCACCACUUAGUCUUAUAACAUAGUGUUCUAAGCAAAAUUACUAUCACGUAUAUAUUUUUGCUUUAAUAUCAACCAUUUAUCAAUUUAACUUUUUUAUUUUUUUUUAAGAUGUAAUACAGCUCUCAGUAUCUGGUUAGUCAGGUCAUUAGUAGUCAAAUAACAGCCAUGGUAGCACACUGUAAAUGAGAAAUGCUUUAAAAAGUCUUCCAUGCCUUUGUCUUCCUCUAUUAAAACUUGGUCUCACAGACCACAUUGAGAUCCUCUGUUAUUUUUCUGUUACUCUUUUUCUGGCUCUUUGACCUUUGCUGUUAAAGCUUUGGUUUAUGCAAAUAGUGAGAUUUCUUCACUGAUAAGAUUGUUAUCCAAAUUAUUAGUAAUGUUUGUUUUUUCCCUAUUUCCCUGUUUCAGCUGCACAUUUAAAAUACUGAAAUGCUUGUACGGUUCACAAAUUAUCUAUUGCUUCUUGGCCUGUGCAAUCUUUCAGCUUUCCUCAGUAACUCUUAUGUUGUCUUCUGUUUCAACACUUGCACAAGAAAAACUCACAAAGGAUUCCAUCCUGGGAGCUGAGUCAUUCUCUAAACCAAGAACUGUCAUUCUCUGUACAUAAAAUAUUCCUCUGCAGAGCUUAAGGGCAAGUAUUACAUAUGUGAUUUUAUGUUGAUUUUUCUUUGGCUUCUCUUACUUUAAAUUGCUUGCAUAUCUGAAUCAGUAUACCACAUUAUUUAUCUGUACACACCAAAACUUUCUUUGCAUUCAUACAAUUACAUAAUGUGUUACAUAAUGCCAAAAUGUUAGUUAUUUUUGUGUUCUAAUUAUUUAUUUGAUAGUCAUUUCAAAAAAUACACUCACAUUUUCACUUGUUUUGUAUUUACACCUAAUUCUCUUGAACUUUAACUACUUCCUAUCCAGGAAACCUCCAGUCCUCAAGGAACAUGAUCUGUACAAUCAAAUUGUUAGUCCAGUCACACCUCUAAAAGACAGUCAUGGUGAAUAGCAAUCUAGCUUUAGUCAUCUGAGAUAGCUAACAUUUAAAAGAGCUGACUAACAGUGACAUGUAUUAGACAUGGAAAAAACAAGACCGGCUAUUUAUUUCUUUUCUUUUCUUAGCACUGUAAAGUACCUCACAUAUUCUUUGUAUUUUUAAAUAAACAUUUUAAAUAAGAAAACUAAAUUCUGUGUUUGUGAUUGCCAAAAAUAAACGCUUUAGUAGGUUGAAACCACUCUAGCACUAUAAGUUAUUCCCAUUAUGACAUUCUCUGCUUAUGUUAAAAUUGAUGUGUGGGACUGAAAGAGAUUUGUAGAAAGAUUCCUGAACACCUCUGUUUUGAUUUUUAUUAUACUUCUUGAAAUAAAACUUUUCAGCUGAUUUCUCCAGCAUAAUUUCACCUGUUAAAAAUUCUCAUGUUAGCUCUGAUUUUAUAAAUAAUGCCUUUAUUAAAUCUAUAAUUUUCCAGCCUACUACGUUUUUAUUCCCCUUUCUUUACUUGCUUGCAUACUUAUCACUCUUUGUUUCAAUGUUUUGUUUUGUCCUUUUAAUUCUUUGUUUUACAGUAAGUCUUGUUGCACUGCUUUCCUUGACGAAUUUGUAUCUGCAUAGAAGAAAAUUGAGCCUCGUGCCAACAGAUGAGAUAGACUUUAUGACUUCACUAUGAUCACAGCACAUAUUGAUAAAAGCAUGGAACUGUGAAGUAUGAGAUGCAAAUGUCAAAAUAUUUCUUUGUUUUUGUAAGGAGUUGCAAAAGCAGUCAUUCCUUUUCUGUACAAUGAAUUAUGGGCAUUCAGAACUGUAAAAAAGCCACUCUACCAAGAAUAUAAAAAUAAAUGCCAUUUGUUGUUUUUUGUUUUGUUUUUCUAAUUUCCUUUCUGUAGAAUGUAGCAUUAAUAUUCUCAAAAAGAAAAAAGCCAACUCUAAGAAAAACUAUCACAUUGCCUACUGUUUUUCUUAAAUCUGUAAAUGUUUUGCAGGUCUUAUCUUAAGUCAGCUUUCUUGCUCCAGGUUUUGAUCUUUGGAAUAAAUCUAACUUAUUUUGGCUUCUAGCAUUUGUCCUGUCGUUCACACAAUUUCAUUUGUAUGUUGGCAACCAAUUUUUCAUAAACACUGAGAGUUCUUUCAGCACUGAACAAUUGCAAUGAAUUGAGGUAGGUUCUGUUGUACUUCUGUAACAAAUUAUUGUACAACAACUUGAGUAGUUAAGGGAAAAAAGGCCUUUUUAUAAGUUGGAAAAUGGGCACAGUAUGCAUUUCAGGUUAAUAACUUUUAUAUACUGCUUUGAGUGUACGUUUGCGUAUUAACCAAAAGGCGGUUGAUUAAUUUUAUUCUUUUUAUUCUUUUCAAAAAAGUUUGGGUUUUUUUUUUUUUUUUUUUUUAAUUACCUCCAUUAGUAAAAAAUAUUAAAUAUUCUCUGACAACUUUCCAUUAGAAUCACAGAAUGGCCUGAGUUGAAAAGGACCACAACGAUCAUUUAGUUUCAAUCCCCCUGUUAUAUGCAGGGUCGCCAGUCACCAGACCAGGCUGCCCAGAGCCACAUCCAGCCUGGCCUUGAAUGCCUCCAGGGAUGGGGCAUCCACAGCCUCCUUGGGCAACCUGUUCCAGUGCGUCACCACCCUCUGUGUGAAAACCUUUCUUCUAAUAUCUAACCUAAGCCUCCCCGUCUCAGUUUAAAACCAUUAUGUUAGAGAAGAUUCAGCAAAGGCUUAAAUUUCUUUUGUCUUACACUCUAAACCUGGAUAGCGAAGAAAAUAAAAUCGUCAAGAAGAUGGUAGCUGCAUGUAAAUAAAAUACUGUCAUUCACAGACAUAAAUAUGCAGAGGUUAUAGCUGUGAGAGCUAUUUAAAAAUCAGAAGUCAGAAUAUAGUCAUGUUUGGAGGAGUAAUACAUAAAGUUAUCCCUCAGGAACAUACCCUUCUAAAGUGUAACCAAAUAAAUAUCACAGAAUCACAGAAUCACCCAGGUUGGAAGGGACCUCAAGGAUCAUGUAGUUCCAACCCCCCUGCCUAGCAGGGCCACCAAACAUACACAUUUAGAUCAGGUUGCCCAGGACCCCGUCCAACCUGGCCUUAAACACGUCCAAGGACGGGGCAUCCACAACCUCCCUGGGCAGCCCGUUCCAGGGCCUAACCACUCUCCUUGUAAAGAACUUCCCCCUAACAUCCAACCUAAAUCUUCCCUCCUUCAACUUGGAUCCAUUUCCCCUAGUCCUGCUAUUGUCAGCCCUUUUGAAGAGUUUACUCCCCUCCUGGGUGUAGGUUCCCUUCAGGUAUUGAUAGGCUGCAAUGAGGUCACCCCGCAGCCUUCUCCAGGCUGAACAAGCCCAACUCCCUCAGCCUGUCCUCAUAGGGGAGGUGCUCCAGCCCCCUGAUCAUCUUAGUCGCCCUCCUCUGGACCCUUUCCAAAAUCUCAAUGUCUUUCUUGUACUGAGGGCUCCACACCUGGACACAGUACUCCAGAUGGGGCCUCACAAGAGCCGAGUAGAGAGGGACGAUCACCUCCCUGUCCCUGCUGGCCACCCCUCUCCUGAUGGAGCCCAGGAUCCCAUUUGCCUUUCGAGCUGCCAGAGUGCACUGCUGGCUCAUAUUCAGUCUCUUGUCCAUCAGGACCCCCAGGUCCUUCUCUGCCGAGCUGCUCUCAAGGACCGCUCCUCCCAGCCUGUACAGGUGCCUGGGGUUCUUCCGGCCCAAAUGCAAAACCCUGCACUUUGCCGUGUUGAACCUCAUUAGGUUCACCCGAGCCCAGCUUUCCAGCCUGUCGAGGUCCCUCUGAAUAGAAUUAGAAUUAGAAUUAGAAUUAGAAUUAGAAUUAGAAUUAGAAUUAGAAUUAGAAUUAGAAUUAGAAUUAGAAUUAGAAUUAGAAUGAAAUAGAAUUAUUUCACAUGGUGCUGUAUAAUUGAGAUAACUUGGAAUUCCCCCUCUUAUAACACUUUUGAUCUAACUGUUAGGUGUGACAGGGUAAGGUUCAAUCUCCUCCUAUCACAGGUUAGGAAAGACUUAGUUUUAAGAAUUGAACUUAGAAUUGAAGGAAGAUAGUGAGUCUUCUUUUCCAAUCUACAUAUUAAUUAUCAAAACACUCAGUGAAUUUAUGUUUGCUGACAAAAUGACAUACCUUGCUUACAUAUCAGUGGGAAAAAAAAAAAUUUGAGUUUCUUGCUAAUUGAAACUGUUGCUUUCCUCAAGUAACUAUUCUAAUGCAGUAAAACCAAGGAAAGCAGAGGAAGAUUUUUUAAAAAUAUAUAGUUCUGCUAUAAGCAAAACAGCACCUGCUUCUUUUUAGAAAGAAUCUGAAUUUAACAUAAGUCUUGAAAAAGUUACUAAACUCAUAUUCUGAUCCGCCAUUCUGAACCUUAUAUGACCAUCUGCUGAAUUGCUGGCUUCCCACUGAUGUAAAACAUCUUAUUAAGUAAACGUAACAGUACUUGUACCUUAGAAUUUGAGGAAGCAAUGCCAGGGACAUCUGCAGCCACAAGACAGGUAAAAUGCUUCUAUCCUCUUCUAUUCUCCUCCAACAGUGGUUUCUUAACUACUCUUGGUAAUUAAGAAAGACUAGAGAAUACGUAUGUCAUUAGAUCUAUGUGUCUUUGUUUCCACAGGAACACCUUACCCUUUAUUUUAUUUUGUCCCUACUAAUUCUUUGCCCCUGCACAGAGAAAAAUAACUGCAUAACUGCAGUUUCAGAUAUAUGUUACAAUGCCUUCUUCUGCUCAGUAUAAAAUAUUUUUUUACUCACCUCCCAGUGUGCAGUCCACUGUGAAUAAAAUGCAUUGCUAAGAAAUUAUUAAUAUAUGCAACCUUAUUUGACUUUCCUUUUAGUUGCUGAAAUAAGACACUUAAUUUCUUUACGAGUCUGUGGAUGGAUGUCUAGAGUUUAUGGACUGUCAGAAGUGUGAUUUAAGGAUAACUAGUAGAUCUGCAAAGCAAACAAGAAGCUGCUCAGUGCUGGGUAGUGACAGUGCUUUUUAAAGUCUGUUUAAGGAUCCACUGUUCCUAUUAAGAUGUACAAUACAUCUGUAGAUUUAUUUUAUAUAGAACAGGCAUCUCCAGGCCAUUAUCAUCACAAAGUUACAAAUAAAGUAUAGAAAUAUUUCAGUAUAUUUUCAAAACACGUGGUACUAGGAGUAGAUUAAGGAGUUUAUUAUUCGUGAUCAAAGACAAUAGCCGACUCUGCUGUAGUAGUGGUGAAUAAAAGCAAAAUUGAAAAUGCUCUAUAAUUUCAUCCUUUUAAUAAAAAAAACCUCAGUGUCAGCUUAGAACUUGGUCAGUUUUUUUUUUCAAGAACUAAUGAAAAAUACAAUGUAAUUAUUUUAAUACUUAAUUUUCACCCAAUCUGGUAAUGAAUGGAAAUAAAAAGCAUUAAGUCUUUUAGAAACUUUUUCUCCACAUGUUUAAUAUCUUUUCUAUAAAUUCAGAAUUUGGUGUGUGCACUAUUUUUGGUCUGUAAGUAAUCCACAGAUAAUCUGGUACUAGCAUUCAUGUCUGGAAAUUUGAUAUCAUUUGGCUUGUUUGAUUGAACUUACAUGACAGUCCUGUUAGAUGUGGGUACUUAACAAAUCACUAGUCCUGUUCAAAUAUUAUUCUGAGUGAUUUUUCUCUGGUAGUCAUUGAAAUUCAUUCUUUUUGUAAGGCUAUAAUCAUGGAAGAAAAAAAAUAAUGGAUCAGUAGAUGUCUUAGCAUAUUUUUUUACUGAUUUGACCAAAUAUUCACAAAGAAAUAUUUCUAAGCAUUCAGUAACUGGCAGACUAACAGUGCCUUUAUAUUCAAUAAUACCAUCUCAUGGGAAAAGAAUCGUUGCCGGAUCUCACCUCCACCCAGUCUCUUCAAUGCAGUCUUUUUGAGUGACAGGCCUCUGCCCACAUGCUACCCACAGCAGAACUCCCAAGAAACUGCUUCUUUAAACCUGGCGGUAAGUCUACAGCAUCCUGUAUUCUGUAUUCUUGCAUUUAAAUCUCCUUCUCAGAAGCACAUCCCUUAAAUUGCUAAAUGCAGUACACUGUAUUCUUUCUAGUAUGAAUGCCCUACAGCUACCACUUUUUGUCUGAGCUCCAAAGAGGCAUUUCUGUCUCUAUUCGCAUGGCAAGCCAAGCUACAAUUUGUCUCUGCAUGAUGCUUCUCUGUGGUACUACACCAGUGCACAACGACUUGCAAUCUCUCAAAGAACUGUUUUAAAGAAAACUGCAAAACAUUUGUCCAUCUGUAUCUCUCUGUGAAGCUUAACCCUGUGAUAAGCAUCACAAAUCUGUCUGCCUCAGGUGUGCCAAGCAAUAGUUCAAUAUCACAGAUCUAGUACUCAGCACCCAUCUUUGUGUUUUUCACAUCCUUUUGAGAUGCUGGUCAGUGAUUCCCUUCCCCUCCCAUUCUUUCCCACACUGGGUUUGCCCUGAAUUUUGAUUGUAACUUUUCAAAAUAGAAAAGCAAGGGUAUAACCUGGAGAUAGGCAAAGCAGGGCAUCCCUAAAUUAGCAAUUCUGCUAUUUCUCAUUCCAGAACUCUUAGUAUGUUCUUGGAAAGUCUGGUUCUCUUCCUUCAUUCAUUGCUUAUUUCAAGCAAAUUCAAUGUGAAAAUAUCAGGCAGUUAAACUGAAAUAUAUGUAAUAUCUACGAAGAAGAUAUUACACCCAAGUUCUGAGGAAGUCGGAGACACUUUUGCUGCUAGUUAAGUUCCACUCGGUGUAAGCAACAAUCAGAAUAUGACCCUGUACUACAGUGGUUAGAGAAAUCAUGGGCUGUUUAUUUUAACUGCUACAUUAACUAACCAUGAUUAUUUUUAAUGGAGUUAGUGUUGAAAGCAUUACAGGUGGCAUAAAGGAAUUUUUGUAAGCAGGAACAAAGGAAAAUAAUCUGAACCUUUAGCAACCCCAGAGAGAUAGCUGAUGUUCCAAUGUAUUUGCAGUAUGAGGCCUCAGAAGAGUUCUCAGUAAUGUCCUUAGAGUUUAGCUCAUAGAUAAGACAGUUUCCUGUAGUUCAUUUCCUAAGUUACUUCCUGCUGGCCUACAAUAUUACAUCCAUCUAUCUCAUCCUCAGGGCUUCUUUCUGUUGUUUUUUUUUCACCUGCCAUACCUAAAGGUAUGCUUGUGACCUCAUUUAAUCCUGAAGAGCAAGGAUGCUAAUUGAGUUGAAAAUGGUAAUGAUGCAUCUAAUUUUCUCAUAUCUGUGUGCUCUCCCUCCUUUCAGAACACCUGACAACACCUGCAUCCCAGAACAAGGGCUUCAACACAUAUUUUUCUGUGUUGCGCCCAGCUACUCCCUUGACCUAUUAUCUGGGGCAAAUUGCACAGUGAAUCAAACAUGAUUCCCUCCACAUUUCUCUUCAUUCUGUUUCUGAAUAAGAGCAGAUGUAUGCUCAGGACAUUUUUGUAUUUGUUGCCGCAGUUAAAGCAUAAUUGGCUACAUGAAAAAGAAGGGGGAUUAACCACCUCCACUUCAGCUGAGACAUCAUCACCUUUACAUUUAAGGCUGCCAUUUGGUUUUUCAGGUAUUUCAAUUGCCGGUCAAGGAGCGGUUUAAGUCUGUAAUAUAAUAAUACUUGCAAUUACCAGUAAAUAACAUUUUACAGCAUUAACUAGCCUGUCCUUACAACAUCCUUUGCAGGCAGGCAAAUAAAUGUUAUUAUCCUCAUUUUACAAACACAUUGAUUAAGUGACUUGCCUAAAGGCCACACAUCAAUUUCAGUGUCAGUGCCAAGAUUAGCACAAAGGAACUUCUGCAUUGCAGUCACAGGAAAAUAAAUAAAUAAAUAAAUAAAAGUAAUAUUAAGUCCCUCCCCUGAAACAAGCAAUCACUUUUCAGACACUCAGUCUAAAUAGUGUUUACCUGCUUUGCAUCCACCAUCAGUCCUGCGCUCUGUCCACCUGUUAAGUGCUGCUUGUUAAUGACUCAAAAAAUGGUUCCCAGCCUGCCAUUAGCAGGGGAAGAUUUGCUUUCACCUGCUAGUUUCAUACCAGUGGCUGGCAGGUGCUGCCUCGAACAUGUGUAGCUCCCAGGCUUAUGGCUGAACCUGUGCUCAGGCAAGUGAGGAAGGCGUAUGCUGCUCCUUGAAGGGCCUCAGUAUGAGCACUGAUUUGAAGAUGCAGCAGUUGCAGCAAGAACACAAUUAGGAAGACAUUAAAAGGAUCUUCCACCAAUUAAUAGAUCAUUGGCCUCUCCAACCAAGCAUAUUUUCAAUUUCUAGACUGUGUACAGCCAGCAGAGUUCUCUAUUAUUGCUGUCGCUACUGUUUGGAAAUUGUGGUAGUUGGAUUGGCAGUAUUGGAAAUUGAGCCUUCAGCUCUAAAGCACAUUAAUGUCUCCAGUCCUCGAUCUCUUGAGCUACUAGGUAAAUUGCGCUAUUUCAAAGCACUUGCUUCUAUAUUUGGAAAUAAUUUUGGUUUUGAUCUACAUCAUUUGUUUCAGACUGAGGCGUUAUGUCUAUGUUCCUUUCCUGACUGACGAGCAAUGCAGACCGUCAUACAUUCAUGUAUGACACAUGGAAGUAUAGCAAGUAACACAAAAAUCUAUUAAACACUGCAGUAUUUCUAAUGUUAAAACCCUGCUUUGUUUGCAGGCAUUUAUUGCUUAGUAAAAAAAUCCAAAUAGUAACAAUUGCUUUUUCCCCACCCCCCCACUAUAACAUAUGUUUCCUACCUGGAAAGACAAAACAGAGGAAGUCACUCCAGCACUUUUAACAGCUAAUUAAGGCCAUUCACGUGUAGGGAUGGCAAUGUUUUCUCCUGACUUAGGCACUGUUUACAAGAUCUUCAUGGCUCCAUUUCUAAAUGUGACAGAAAAUCAAAAUAACUGUGAAUUUUUUGAACUUCAGUAGCAUUGUUUGUCAGUGGAUUCACAAAUCUGUCAUUAAAGCCUACAGAGUCAUUUGCAAAUACCUUAAUUUGACCUAGUCAUUGAAACUGGUAUUGUGCCAAUGUCUGAAAGAAGAUACAUUGAAAAAUUGUCCAGCAUUUAUGAUAGAUACUGGUAUUUCAGACCAGAGUCCCAGGCGAUGAAUUAUAUUCUUAAUAAGCAUACAUAACAAAGUUAAAUUUAGAAGUACACUUCGAAAUGGUUGCCAAGUUUUUAACUGAAGGUCAUUUGUACUUUUUUAUUUUUAUCCCAGGUGGGGAGAGUAUGCACAUGUAAUCAAAUGAAAUAUGUAGACUUAAGUACAAAAUACUUCAUAUAUUAGCCACAUGAAUUACACUUUUUUUUUUUUUUUUUUUUUUUUUUU